GUGGUUAGAGUUUCAGGUUGUGGUCCUGAAAGUCGCAGGUUCAAAUCCUGCUGUUC
rnacentral:tRNA from 1 species